rnacentral:tRNA from 2 species
GGGGGCGUAGUUCAAUCUGGUUAGAGCACUGCCCUGUCACGGCAGAAGUUGCGGGUUCGAGUCCCGUCGUCCCCG